AGAAGAGAAAAGAAAAGGCAUUGAAAAAAAAUAAUCUUAUUCGAAGAGAAACGAGUCGAAAAACGAGUCGAAGCAACGAUCCCGAUAACCAGUUCUCGGAACUAUUCGAAAUAUAUAUAUAUAUAUAUAUACAUAUAACUAUAUAACUAUCGCACGGUAUAUAUAUAUGCACGCCGUUUGUAAUUUUCCUUUUGCCCUUGUCGUAAAGGCGGUAAAUGCGAAAACGAGGUUUGAAAGUGGCACGCAGUAUUCAUCGAGGGAGAACGUAAAUAGGCACGAACGUAAUUCGUAUCACGCGGAUUGUACGCGCGUAACGCGCAGGGUUAACUGGCUCGUCACCGAGCCACUUGACCCGCGAUCAAUGAAACCUCGGAAUUCUCGAAUGAAAAAUUCUCCGGAUAGAGGAGUGAUCAAAGGCGAAACGGGCAAGUUCAUGGUUCCCGAGUGUGGAAAAAAAAAAAAAAUGGCGACUCUUUGUCCGCUUAAUCGUAUUCCAGUCGCGGAUCGAUUAACCUAACCUAUAAUAUACGGAGGAUAUUACAAGAAUUCUACAAUUUCAACACGCUGGUAGAAUACUAGCACGGUUGAGCAUGCGCAGUUGGAUCCGAAUAUGGACGCUUAAACGAGGAAGUUGACUUCUGGGAAUUCAAGUAAACAAGGAGAGGAGAUAAGUGCGAAUAAGAUAUACAACGAUGCAUUGAUAUGCGGUGAAACAAUUAACUUGAUUGAUAUCAAGAAUUUCAUCGAAGGAUUCUCCGAUUCUGUUCCUAAAAAUUGAUGGGAUAAUAAUUUAACCGAUUAACGAACAAAUAUCCUCCAUUUUUUUCUUCUACCGCUUUUCUCGUCAGACGAAUCACAAUGCACGUCGAAAUUUCUCGAGGAGGAGCACGCAAUUUGAACGAAUAUACGUACUAGCCGCUUAUUGUUGCGUGCUUUCUCCCGCUUUCCCCGCAACGAAACGGCCUUGGUAUAUCCAAUCACUCUGCGUCCCUCCCCCCCCCUCCCCUUUCGCAGUCGACGACGCUGCCGAGGCAUCGACCUUCGAGGUGUAUCGAUGAUCGAGUUUGCGCGGAACGCCACCGUAUCAGGGGACAGCGGCACGGUCGCUGGCGUCGCUUUGUCGUCGGUAAUUGAUUUAUACGCUCUGCCUUUGAUGUCGGUCCGCCGCUUCGACAGCGACGUCCGCGAUGAAAGGGGGAUGGUCUGCGUACACGCUCGAUCCUCUUAUCGGAGACGUCACCGCGCUUCGCGUUUUCGCAGAACAACGUCAUCGCGACACUGACUCGUUCAACUCGUUCGAUUCGAUCGAUGGAUCGAGUCGCCACGAAGCCGUUUUCGUCGCGGCUUUACUUUUAUAAAAAUAUUUUACCGGCGUGUGUGUAUUUCUGCUCGAGCGAGAGA